rfam:Ictidomys tridecemlineatus contig088521, whole genome shotgun sequence.
GGGGUUGUGGCUCAGUGGUAGAGCGCUUGCUUCGCACGCAUGAGGCCCUGGGUUCGAUCCUCAGGACCACA